rnacentral:misc_RNA from 1 species
UCCGGCAAGUGGGUGAUCACGUCGCCCUGAAGCUUGUUCUCAAAAAACUGGAAACUCUCCCAACUGAAGCUCCGGCUGCCGCCCCCGUCCAGCGGAUGGAGGCCGAUGCAGGAUAUCGCUAUCCCUAGCAAAAAAAGUCGGCUGUUAUUGUCCAUCAUCCCCGCGAUGCCGCUGCCUGGUUUCCUCAUCUCCUGAGAACCCUCCCAGCCCAUAAUCAGGAAUCCCCCAAUCGCCAGACCGACCAAAGGGAUGGCCAGCAACGCGGGGGCAAACCAGCGCGCUUUUUGACGCUGGCCGAUCAUCAGCGAUACCGCUGCAAACACUCCGAUUCCCACCGCCGCACCCAGAAUGCCACCUCGCGAGCGGGUGAAAUAAACUGCAGCAAGCCCGCCGGCGGCGAUCAGUCCCCAAAUGAUCCGGGUUGCGGAUCCCUGCCUUCCGAAAAGGGCCGCCGCCGCCACAAGUAGCGAUGAGGCGAUCAGAUAGUUGGCCGCCUCAUUGUAGUGGGCAUAGAAUCCCGAAGGAAAUUCCGCGGCGCGCGACACGAAUACCGGGGUGUAAGCGGGAUCGAUCACUUGCUUACCCACCACAACCACAUUCGCACCUAACAGCAGUGCGAUCCCCCACAUCAGGAUUCGUUCUGCGGCCGCGUUUCCCUCAAUCGCCCGGAUGAUGGUGAAAGUGCCGACCACUCCGGCCAGCAGCAUCAGGUCCGCUUGUUUGAACUCCGCCACCGGUGAAUUCCAUGCCCUCCCCGCAAACCAACCCACCACCAAACAUCCGAAGGCGAGGACUCCGAGAUCCGCGGUUAGGCGGCCCCGUUUCCAAAACACGGGUAGUGCCGCCGCUACGCCCCCCCCUAAUGCCAACAACGCUGGCCCCCAGCUCCAUGGGCGGGUCUGCGGACCGAUCACCACCGCCAACACCAGCGCAAUGACGAGGAAUGUAGAACUAAUCGCGGGCAUCGGGCGGAAGAAAACUGGAAUUAUUGAGGCCCUGAAACCUGAAAUCGAGAAGACCAUGCGCGAAGCACUUUCUGAAAUUUCAGCAUCUCGGUAUUUCAGGCGUUGCCUGUCACGUUGCUCCCUUGCCAAACAGCACUGCGGGGAUGGUCCGGAACAGGAUCUUGAUAUCCAGCCACAGCGACCAGUUGUCGAUGUAGCGGAGAUCCAUCGCCACCCAUUCCUCGAAGCUGGUAAUCGUGUUGCGGCCACCCGCUUGCCAUUCACAGGUGAUGCCGGGUUUCACGCUCAAGCGCCGCCGAUGGGAAAGUUCGCAGAACGCCUCCACUUCGUAAAUCGGCAGCGGCCGCGGCCCUACCAGACUCAUUUCGCCCGUCAGCACAUUGAGUAGUUGGGGCAGUUCGUCGAUGCUGAAUUUCCGCAAAACGCGCCAAACGGAAAAAUCCGAGGAUCGUUCCUCAGCUUGAAAACCGGUCCUUCCAUCUGGUUGCCGUGGUUUUCCUUGAUCUGAUCCAACAUCUUAUCCGCGUCGGCCACCAUCGUCCGGAAUUUCCACAUCCGGAACGGUUGGCCGUAACGACCGGCCCGCAUUUGCGAGAAAAAUACCGGUGCUCCCGGGCUCUUGAUCAUGAUGCCCAGCGCCGCAACGAUCCACGCUGGCGACGAGAUGAUGAUCGCCAGGAAUGCGCCGACUCGGUCGAAAACCUCCUUGCACAGCAGUUCCCACGACAGCUCGGGGGUGGACCGCAAGACCAGCAUCGGCUUGUUGCCGAUUGCGUCGAAAACCGGUCGUGCGAUCUGUGCUCGAAUGAACGAUGCCGCGAUCCAUGCCUCCACCCCUUGCAGCUCGCAUGCUUCCACCGCACGUGCGACUUUUUCGAACUCCGUGUUUUUUGGGGAAAACAGCACCCGGCUAACAGACUGUUCCUUUAACAAGGCAAACAACUCGUGCACUUCGCGUUUUCCCAGGUCGAAGUGAUCCACCACAUUCCAAUC